UGUUUCUGUUCUUUCUUUGAGCAAAUGUGAAAUGUGAAUGCGAAUGAGUUCGCUCGCUAAUUGUCCGCCUGUUGCAAUUUCUUCGUUUGACCAGGCGAAUGCAAUUAGUGCGGCUGCCGGACGUCUGAGGCCCGUCAGAAUGAGAAACUCCGCCGCGAAGUGCCAACACUCCUCAUUCGCCAUCUCAUAUGGUCGGUACUCCCCUUACUCCACAUACUCCCCUACUUUCCAUACUCCCCGUCAAAGACCCACGCACUCUUCUCGUCAAUGUGCGUGGAGCUAUUUUGGGUGGAUUUAACAAUAGACUGAAAAAGAGGCAGACAAGGAUGAAGAUAGUGAUAUCUCCAGACCUUGGAAUACCUAAACAGAAAAGAUUUUGAUGGACCUAUCUUUUUGGAGCACUCUGUGGAUGCACGCACAUGUGCUCCCCAUCACAGCUGCUCGUGAUCCUUUGGCGACGAGAAAUCAGCGCUCAAAUAUGAUUAAUAAGUAAUUUCUUUGUCAACAAGUGACUGGGGAUGGCCUGCUAUGACGACAGCGGCGAUAACGACAACUAGAAUGAGAAUGGAACGACGCCAUGGAAAUCUUUAAUAAAAUACAUGCAUAAAUAAAUUAUAGGGCAAACAGAGGCGAGGAAAAACAAACUGGAUGGAGAUGAACUGCUCCGAAUGGAGGCGAACUGCUCCAUUUGUUGACGUCACACGCACAGAACACGUGUGUGUGUGUGUGUGAGCACACGUUGGAACUGAAAUAGUGGGGUAUAUUGACUAGCAGAAACGGAAGGCCUCCAUAAACUCAAACUUGUAUAUUCCUUCUGAAAUAAAGUCGGAUCAGAAUAUUUAUUAUAAGAAUUAGGUGUGUGCUCCAAUAUUUUUGAAAGGAAUAACCACUUAAUAUUAAAAAACCUUCAACAAUAUACUUUCAAUGUAAAUGUUCAAUAUUGCAGUUACUGAAUAUCUUUCAGUCGACAACUUUGCCGCAAUCGAUUUGCUGCUUCCGUUGCCUCUUCUUCUCUGUGUGCGUGACGGACCAACGCACGGGCGCACUUUUCCUCAGGCCAGUCCCCACUCGACCCCCGGGAAAACCCACCGUUGUGGGCUGGUCAAAUGGUUUCAUCUUCAUUUGGUUCUGGUCCUGUUUUUCUGGCCAGACAUACAUGUGCCGGGUCCUGCUUCGCCAUUAUGAUGAUUUAUGAACGGAAAUCAUUUUUCGCCCAGUGCGGCUUUUCUGGGUGGUCUGGGGGUGGUGCUUGGUCUAGGCCUCCUUUUUGAGGUCCUGCUCCGCCCCGAAGUAUGCAACAGUUUUCAAUUUCGUUUCCGUUUGCUGCAAACUUUCGCUUCACACUCGGCUGGCUCUUUUAAUUUGAAAACCAAUGCUGCUCUGGUUCGGUUAUUUUCAGUUCGGAUUCGCAUUCGUCCGCAGUUCGAUUUGACUUCAUUUGGGAAAAAGUUUUCUCGAGCAGCUGGCCGCAGAUUGAUGAGUUUUCUUUUUUGGGUGGAACAUUAAUUUCCCUUUAACAAAAUCAGCCAACUUUCUUCUGCAGUGGGAAGAUGGUCAUGUUUUGCUCAGCCCGUUGGAGCAACAAGUGGUCAUGGAUUGCUGAGUUAUGGUACGAUUGUUUUUUAUAGCAGAAGCUCUAUUUUCAAAGCUUUUCAAUGGGCUUUUAGCCGGGGUGCAUUUGUGAAGACAGCAACCAACAGCCAACACAGCUUUAGUGCUUAAAGUGCAAUUUUUAAUUUUAAGAGAAUGUAAACCGAACGAAAGAAAACUAUUUAU
rnacentral:sRNA from 13 species